rnacentral:misc_RNA from 1 species
AUCUUUGAUCAGUUCCUAAUAAAUUGUUGCAUGUUUGAAUCUGUAUUUUACUUGAGAUUCCCCAACUCACACACCUCAAAGUUCUUUAUUCUUUAUCGAUGCCACAGGCUUGGAAUUUUGUGAACGGAGGGCAAGUUCCUGUGAUAUCAGUUUUCAUGUUAGAUUUUUUAAUUUAAUAUGUGCUUUUAGAAGUCGCUGCCCUUUCUUAAUUAUCAAUUGAUUUAAAAUUGUGUUAUA